UACGAAGGGGGCUAGCGUUGCUCGGAAUCACUGGGCGUAAAGGGUGCGUAGGCGGGUUUUUAAGUCAGAGGUGAAAUCCUGGAGCUCAACUCCAGAACUGCCUUUGAUACUGAAAGUCUUGAGUACGGGAGAGGUGAGUGGAACUGCGAGUGUAGAGGUGAAAUUCGUAGAUAUUCGCAAGAACACCAGUGGCGAAGGCGGCUCACUGGCCCGAUACUGACGCUGAGGCACGAAAGCGUGGGGAGCAAACAGG
rnacentral:rRNA from 1 species